UGGGGAAUAUUGGACAAUGGAGGAAACUCUGAUCCAGCAAUUCUGUGUGCACGAUGAAGGUUUUCGGAUCGUAAAGUGCUUUCAGUAGGGAAGAAGAAAGUGACGGUACCUACAGAAGAAGCGACGGCUAAAUACGUGCCAGCAGCCGCGGUAAUACGUAUGUCGCAAGCGUUAUCCGGAAUUAUUGGGCGUAAAGGGCAUCUAGGCGGUCAAUCAAGUCGAAGGUGAAAACUUGUGGCUCAACCAUAAG
rnacentral:rRNA from 1 species